CAACAAACACGAUAACUUUUGAAAAAAAAAAAAGAAUUAUUAGAGAUUGGAACUCUCCAAGGUACGUGCGAGGUUGAUUAAGUUAUCGGUCAAAUCUCCAUGAAUCUUGUUGUUAUUUCUUGGUGUUUUAUUCGAUACGUUGGCCGCCUUUUCUUUAUGGUUCUUCUCGAUCAACAUGAAAUGUCGCAAGAAGCUUGAAAUUGUUAUUUAUAUGUAAAUCCAAAAUUUCAACUCGAUUGUUUCCGCCGUCACUGAAAUAUUGAAUAUUUUUCUUCCGAUAUUCUUAUGACGUUAAAUGAAUUGAAUCAGUAAUAUCUAUUUAGGAGAAGGUGGUUUAGUACCUUGGAAAAAUCUAUUGUUCGAUAAUAUUAUAUACAAACUUGAAUUAUGAUAAAAAGUUAAAAAAAAGAUCGAAUAGUCUCAAAAAUCUCACCCGAAUGUUAUCGGUGAGAUGCAACAUAUUUAACUCGAUUUAAGAACAAUUUCAACAUGGGAAAAUUUCGUAAGCCCUUAUGCCACUCUGCAACUAUUCCUUCUGAAACCAAUUUCCAACAACUGAACAAAGAGAGCAUACCAUGUUCGAUUUUGGAAUAUUUGCGAUUCCAACCGCAUUUUCCAAGAAUAAAAAAAUUUAACUGAUUUUAGUAGUUUAUUCCAUUUAUGUAGGAGCCAAAGAAUAUAUAUAUUCAUAUAUUUGUUCAUACAGGGUGUUUCCUAAUUAUGGGAUAAAACUUCAGGAGGCGAUAGUACCUACCUUCUCAUCAAAAUGAGAAAAAAGUUCUUAUGAAUAUAUUUCCGAAAAUGCUUCCGCUUCCUAUUACAGCCAUCCGGAGUUUUCAUUUUAAUCAUACAGGCUGAUUAACCGCGAUGGCUUUUUAGAAGUUCAUAGAAAACUAUGCCAUAACUUGGAUCAGUGGCGACGCUAGAGGGGGGUCAGGGGAGGCCCGGGCCCCCCCUAAAAUUUUGCUGGCUCCCCUAAAAUUUGACAUAGUAAGGCUAAAGGAGUGGAGUAGUCUGUGACUUCUAGAAAACACAGAUAGAAACUGAAAUUCGGUGUUUCGAUAAUUAAAUUUGAAAUUUCAUAAAUGAAAAUGAGUAUUCAUUCUUAUGAUUUGAAAAUUUUACUCGUCUAUCUAUCGAUGUAUCGAUUAAAUAAUUCCAACGAACAAUCAAUAACAAAUAAUUAAAUUACAAAUUUAGGUAUAACUAAGAUGUCUAAAAACCUGCUGGUGUAUGGACUGAUUAUUUUGUUUUGCCAAUUUUGAGAAUAUUAGUUAAACUUCGAUUCAUUCUAGUAAACGUUUUGUUUUGUUUCACGACUUUGCACGAUCAUACUCGGUUACACAUCGCUUUUGAUUGGCGAGGAUCGGGUUUUAAUUAAUGUAUCCAAUGAAAAUCAAAGGAAAAAGAUCGUGAUGACAGGUAUGACAUUGCGGCGCCGCCACGAAAUAAAACUAAAUAUUCUCAAUUAGUCGAAUGUCAUUGCAUGAAGAAAUUGACGAGUGCAUACACCAUGUUUCUAGACAUCUUAGAUAUAACUAUAGGUAAAAUUUGAAUUUGGAACACCGAAUUUUAUUUUAUUUCUGUGUUUUCCAGAUUCACAGACUACUUCCACCAUCUUCCUCUACCCGCCUCUAUUUUUAUACUGAAUUUGCUGAAAUUGACUGAAAGAACAAAAAAUAUAGGUUCCAAUUUGAAAAUCUUGAGUUUUGAUAAAUAUGAGAUGUCCAAGUUCCUGAAAUGAUAUUUUGGUCGAAAUCACAAAACUUAUAUUUGCAGGAUCGAAAAUAAAGCUUUCUUCGAGAAAAACUUUCUGCAGAAGUAUUCAAGAAAAUGAUACGCUAAAACGGACUAAAUAUUUGGACCCGAAGCUCAUGAGUUACAGAUACUCCCAAAGAUCCUAAAUGAAAAGUAACUGUCAUGCGCGAGAAUGACGAGAAUUCCCUUCAAAUACGAUUUCAACGUUGAUGUUAUUUUGUUUCAAACGACAACAAAAUUUACAUUUUCUGUUGUUUCCCAUUUUAAUUGCAGAGUGGGAUGAAACAGAUGAAAUUUGGUAUUAUUAUAACAGCUACAAAAAUAUACAAAAUUUUCUGCAGACCAAUUUUUAAUAUAAACACAUUAUACAGAACUGAACUAGUGCCAAUAAGGAAAAGACUGCAAAAAUUUCCAAGGAAACUCUUCUAAAGUCUACACAACAUAGAACUAAAGUGACCAUUGAUGCAAAUAUGAUAGAAGUUGUUUAUUAUUAUUAUAUUUAUUUGUAGGUUGAUCAAUUAAUGUGAUUUGAUAAUAUGAAAAAGAAUUUUUUAUGAUGAGAUUGAAUUGAAAGUUCCCUUUCGUUACUAUGAAUAAGUAUUCAAAUUAAAGCUUCUUAAUUAUUUUAUGUGAAUUAAGAAAUUUAUUGUUGGUAAUAAUGGAUUGAACUUUAAGAAAUUACAUUAAAACAUCUAGAAAUGGAUUUUUGAAAGUACUACUAGCAUGUUUUAUAUUAGGAUUAGUUUGACAUUUCACCUUGUUAAUAAUUUCAAAAUUUAAAUCAAUGUGUUAUGUGAAGGAUCAGGACAAGAAAAAAUUAUUAUUAUUGUAGCAUCCCUUAUAUAUGGAUUAUUCAGAAACCACUCAUGAAUCUCAAAAAAGAUUUCUCUUGGGUUUUCAAUACAGAAUAGGGUAAUAUCAUUCAGUGAUUAUGGUUAAGUAAACAAUCGGGACAAAAAUAAGUAUAUGGUUAAUAAAAAAAAUGGAGGACCAAUUUUGUCACUUGUAUCAUAAUAAAUAUUAAUUUAAUAUUUCUUUUGUUUUAAUAAGAAAUCCAAAUUGUUAAUUUUUAGGUUUUCUUGCACUAUAAUAAUAUAUUGAAUAGUUUAACGAUAUUACUGGGCAGAUGCUCCAUUACUAAAAAUGCUAAUGAGGUCAUUUUAUUUUCAGAUUAGGAUAUAAUGCAUAUAAUGGAAAUAUAAUAAAGUCUGUAUCAAAUUCUUUACAGCAUAGAGAAUUUUGGCUGUUCAAUACAGUUAAGAAUACACUUUCAUUGAGUUAUUCUCAAUCUACAUUACUCACUUUGAUAUAAUUAUGGGAAAUGAAAUCGUAUAAUCAAUACAGGAAGAAGUUUAUUGUAAGAAAACUUACAGUUGUUCAAAAUUAUAU